UAACCAGCAUGUGAUUGCCUUGCCC
rnacentral:piRNA from 1 species